AACGAACGCUGGCGGCAGGCCUUAUACAUGCAAGUCGAACGAGAAAGCACUUCGGUGUGAGUAGAGUGGCGCACGGGUGAGUAACACGUGGAUAACCUACCUUUUGUGGGGAAUAACAGUGAGAAAUCGCUGCUAAUACCGCAUAAGCAGGCAACUGGAAAGAGGGCUUCGGCUCUCGCAGAAAGAUGGGUCCGCGGGACAUUAGCUUGAUGGUGGGGUAAUGGCCUACCAUGGCAACGAUGUCUAGCUGGUCUGAGAGGAUGAUCAGCCACACUGGAACUGAGACACGGUCCAG
rnacentral:rRNA from 1 species